GAUCAAAUUAGUGUGUUCCUUUGUUUGUUUUAAGACAUUGAAAUUAGGCCAGUCAAUUUCACUUUGUUUAUAAUCCAUUUCACUUUCAGGCUCUUUGUGCUCAUAUGAUGUUGCUACAGUUAAAGCUCCCAGCAGAAUUUGCAGGCCCUGAACUGUGAAGUAGACCUUCCAUUCUCCCCUGGUCUCUUAUCGUCACAGUGUGCGUGCUGGAAAUCAAGUGAAGGAUUUACCUAAGACUCUCAUUGCUAAAUAAUGGAGUUUGAGAGACAAGGAAAAGGUUCCUGGCUCAAUUAUUCCACGGGACAUAAAGAACCUGAAUGCUGCAUGUUGGCGGCUAACCAACAGACUUCAAGCGACAGCCCUUGGGAAGAGAAAAAUCCGAACUAGAUUCCUCUGCCCGGCUGGAGCGGACAUAGCAAGAGUGACUGGGAGGAGAACACCCAAUGCAUGCAUGUGCCCAAAUGUGAGAGAAACACUUCCAUCUGGAUUUCUGCAUUCCCCUUCAGCACGCGAAGCCCAUACUAUGGCCCAAGAAAGGACACAGGAAGUGAAACGAAAGCAGCCUAUUUUGGUUUUCCGAAUGCCAAUGAAGUAUCAAAAAAGUUGAAAAAGCAGCAUAAACGAUUAAAAGUCAACCAAAAAAAUCUUUUGGGUGCAUUUUAAUUAAGUUAAGGAGGUGCUCACAGUAUAGAAGAGGACAGUUGCUAGAAAUAGUCUUUCUUUUGAAGAAAAUAAAGAGACAAGACUGUAUCUUUUUAAAUUUGGAAUACAGAAAAAUUGAGAACUGUGUACGCAUAACACUGGUUUUCCAUCUGCACACCAACCACAAUGUAAGCACUGUUCCAUUUAAAACACAAACUCACAGAGCAUGUUGCAUCAUAAAUGCAGUAUUGCCAUUUCUUGCCAUUUUUCCACAAGUCUCGAGACAUUUAGUGUUUUUCUUAAAGCCCCAGCUCCUGGAGUCAUGUUAACAGGAGAGUUUUUUUUUUUAAGCUCAGACACGCUGCUUCCUUUCCCAGACCUGAAAAAGAGCUGUGU